rnacentral:lncRNA from 1 species
AGAGUACUGGGGGGUACUGGAGUGGUACUGGGGGGUACUGGGAGAGUAGUGGGAGAUACUAGGGGGUACUGGAGUGGUACUGGGGGAUACUGGGAGAGAACUGGGGGGUACUGGGGGGGGCCUGGGGGGUACUGGAGUGGUACUGGGAGAUACUGGGGUGGGACUGGGGAGUACUGGGAGAUUACUGGGAGAUACUGGGGGGUACUGGGAGAGUACUGGGGGGUACUGGAGUGGUACUGGGGGAUACUGGGAGAUACUGGGGGAUACUGGGGGAUACUGGGGUGAUGUCAAAGGGAUACUGGCGAAUGUUGGGAGAUACUGGGGGAUACUGGGAGGCACUGGGAUGCCNNNNNNNNNNGGGGGAUACUGGGGGGUACUGGGGGUGUACUGGGGGAUACUGGGAGAGUACUGGGGGGUACUGGGGGAUACUGGGAGAUACUGGGGGAUACUGGGGGAUACUGGGGUGAUGUCAAAGGGAUACUGGCGAAUGUUGGGAGAUACUGGGGGAUACUGGGAGGCACUGGGAUGCCACUGGGUGCCAUUAGGGUCCCAUUGGGUGCCCCUGGGCGAUACUGGGUGAUACUGGGAGCUACUGGGGUGGCGUUAUGGUGGCUCUAGGGUGUUACUGGGAGUUACUGGGGUGUUACUGGGAGGCACUGGGGUGCCACUGGGUGGUACUGGGAGGCACUGGGGCGCUACUGGGUGCCAUUAGGGUCCCAUUGGGUGCCCCUGGGUGGUACUGGGUGAUACUGGGAGCUACUGGGCUGCCGUUCUGGUGGCACUGGGAGGCACUGGGGUGGUACUGGUUGUUACUGGUUCAUACUGGGAGCCAACUGGUGUCCCCAGAGCGCGGUGGCGGUGGCGGGCGGGGCCACGCGGGCGGCCGUGGCCGUGCACCAGGCCCGCAGGGAGAACGCGGCCGAGGUGAGCGCCAAGGACGGCAGCCAGGUGAGACUGGUUUGGACUGGGACAAACUGGGAGCACUGGGAGNNNNNNNNNNGCCAUACUGGGAGGGUUCUGAGGGCAACUGGGGGGGGCUGGGAGGGGACUGGGACACACUGGAAUGUAUUGGGAGGUGCUGUGGGGGGACACUGGGCUAUACUGGGGGGCACUGGGCCAUACUGGGGGGCACUGGGCCCGGCUCCUUCCACGCAUGCGCAGAGCGGCGGCUCCUCGGCGCGCAAAAUGGCGCCGGGGGAACCCAAUGGCGGCCCCCAGCGCGGCUUCACGAGCGGGCAGCGCGCAUGCGCAGAGCAGGGCAGGGAGGGGGCGAGACAAAAUGGCCGCGCGCCCCCGUCACGUGCCGCCAAGAAGAUGGCGGCGCCCAGGGAGCGCCCCCCGAGGAACCAUAGAGUCGCGGAGCCGCGGGGGUCCUCCCGCUGUGCUGGAGGCGUCGCGGCCUAGCCGCCCUUCCCCCUCCCCCACCUCCCCCCCGCCGUCUUGACGUCACUUCCGGCUGGC